CAAACGGGUGAGUAACACGUGGGUGACCUGCCUUCGAGUGGGGGAUAACGUCCCGAAAGGGACGCUAAUACCGCAUGACAUCCCGCCUUUGAACAGGUGGAGAUCAACGCUGGGGAUCGCAAGACCUAGCGCUCAAAGAGGGGCCCGCGUCUGAUUAGCUAGUUGGUGGGGUAACGGCUCACCAAGGCAACGAUCAGUAUCCGGCCUGAGAGGGCGGACGGACACACUGGGACUGAGACACGGCCCAGACUCCUACGGGAGGCAGCAGUGGGGAAUUGUUCGCAAUGGGCGCAAGCCUGACGACGCAACGCCGCGUGGAGGAUGAAGACCUUCGGGUCGUAAACUCCUUUCGAUCGAGACGAACGGCCUCCGGGUAAACAAUCCGGAGGAGUGACGGUACCGAGAGAAGAAGCCCCGGCUAACUCCGUGCCAGCAGCCGCGGUAAUACGGGGGGGGCAAGCGUUGUUCGGAAUUACUGGGCGUAAAGGGCUCGUAGGCGGCCAACUAAGUCAGACGUGAAAUCCCUCGGCUUAACCGGGGAAUGG
rnacentral:rRNA from 1 species